rnacentral:rRNA from 1 species
AGUGAACGCUGGCGGUAGGCCUAACACAUGCAAGUCGAACGGCAGCACAGUAAGAGCUUGCUCUUACGGGUGGCGAGUGGCGGACGGGUGAGGAAUACAUCGGAAUCUACUUUUUCGUGGGGGAUAACGUAGGGAAACUUACGCUAAUACCGCAUACGACCUACGGGUGAAAGCAGGGGAUCUUCGGACCUUGCGCGAUCGAAUGAGCCGAUGUCGGAUUAGCUAGUUGGCGGGGUAAAGGCCCACCAAGGCGACGAUCCGUAGCUGGUCUGAGAGGAUGAUCAGCCACACUGGAACUGAGACACGGUCCAGACUCCUACGGGAGGCAGCAGCGGGGAAUAUUGGACAAUGGGCGCAAGCCUGAUCCAGCCAUACCGCGUGGGUGAAGAAGGCCUUCGGGUUGUAAAGCCCUUUUGUUGGGAAAGAAAAGCAGCAGGUUAAUACCCCGCUGUUCUGACGGUACCCAAAGAAUAAGCACCGGCUAACUUCGUG